GAGUUUGAUCGUGGCUCAGAGCGAACGCUGGCGGCAGGCUUAACACAUGCAAGUCGAACGCAUCCUUCGGGGUGAGUGGCAGACGGGUGAGUAACACGUGGGAACGUACCCUUCGAUCUGGGAUAACUUCGGGAAACUGGAGCUAAUACCGGAUACGCCCUUUUGGGGAAAGGUUUACUGUCGAAGGAUCGGCCCGCGUCUGAUUAGCUAGUUGGUGGGGUAACGGCCUACCAAGGCGACGAUCAGUAGCUGGUCUGAGAGGAUGAUCAGCCACACUGGGACUGAGACACGGCCCAGACUCCUACGGGAGGCAGCAGUGGGGAAUAUUGGACAAUGGGCGCAAGCCUGAUCCAGCCAUGCCGCGUGAGUGAUGAAGGCCUUAGGGUUGUAAAGCUCUUUUGUCCGGGACGAUAAUGACGGUACCGGAAGAAUAAGCCCCGGCUAACUUCGUGCCAGCCGCCGCUGU
rnacentral:rRNA from 1 species